rnacentral:rRNA from 1 species
UGGGGAAUAUUGGGCAAUGGGGGCAACCCUGAUCCAGCGAUGCCGCGUGUGUGAAGAAGGCCUGCGGGUUGUAAAGCACUUUAGUUGGGGAGGAGAAGGUUCGUAUGAAUAAUGAGGACUGGAGACGUUACCCAAAGAAUAAGCACCGGCAAACUCUGUGCCAGCAGCCGCGGUAAUACAGAGGGUGCAAGCGUUAAUCGGAGUUACUGGGCGUAAAGGGCACGUAGGUGGUUAUAUAAGUCAGUUGUGAAAUCCCCGGGCUUAACCUGGGAACUGCAGCUGAUACUGUGUGACUAGAGUCGAAGAGAGGGAAGCGGAAUUUCCGGUGUAGCGGUGAAAUGCGUAGAUAUCGGGAGGAACAUCAGUGGCGAAGGCGGCCCUCUGGUCCAGUACUGACACUCAAGUGCGAAAGCGUGGGGAGCAAACAGGAUUAGAUACCCAGGUAGUCCCUGAGCGGGCUGGCAAGGCGCAU